UCAUUAUUUUACCCAAAACUACCUGAGCAGUAAAGUUUCCCCUAUCAAAUUUUCCUUCAUAUAGGACUAUAUUAGUCUAUGACCUAUCACUACCUUCACUAACUUUGUAGUUUUGGCUAUCAUACGACUCAAUAAAUCUCUACGUGGCAGUAUAUUAUGGGUUUUAUAUACAGUAGUACUUCUAUAUGUGGAGGAAUUACAGUGACAUAUGUAUUGCUCUCUGCCGAAAUGGACAAGAGAAAUAUGAUUCUUUUUUACGUGGCAGGAGAUUAACGAUUCCUAGUAUUUGGUGUCAGAAUGUGGUUUUGUUUACGUGUCGGCUUGUCCCACGGCAGUUAACUAGGCCGUUGAACUUGACGGCUCAAAAUUUUAGGCCGUUGAAAUAGAAAACCUCAAAAUCAUGCAUCAAUGGGCUUGUAAGAAUCCGUAAUUUGGUUAUAAAGCCCGUUCGUUUUCCAAUUAUGGCAAAUGAGUUUUGUCCUUUGUGUAUAUGCGUGUUUAAUCCAUUCUGGUGUCCACUUUGUCUAGAAGUCCUCUGUGGUGAAACAAUAUGCAUAGCAUGACGUUGUAUAGGAUUACAUGAAUUUAUACAAUAUUAAAUUAAUAAUUAGUUUUUUUCGACACCACAUAUGGGAUAAUUCAGUUUGUUGUUGUUGUAAGAUUAUAAUUAGUAUAUAUGUCAGAAAGAUCAGAUCAAUAAUUCAGGAAAAUGACAAAUAAAGCAGAAAGCUUUAUUAAGGCCAUGUGAACGAUGAUUUCCAAUGAAGUAUCCGACAAUGUUGAAAGAAAGAUUUCUGAAAGUAUUUUAAGUCCGUAGCUCUCUCUCUCUAUAUAUAUAUAUAUAUAUAUAUUAGUCGUAGGUUUGCAAGUCACUCUCAAAUAAACCAUUCUAUUCUCUCAUAUCACUCUGAUGUUUUCUGUAUUUCACUUUGUAUCCUCAAUCUUGUGUUCAUAAGUCAUUUGUAGAAGUGUAUCAUCGUCCGAUAUAUUUAGAAAAACUUUAGAAAUAAAUCCCUCUUAAUUAAACAUCUUUUAAAAGAUAAAUAUUUAAAAAUAUAUACUAACAAACUAUAAUUAACGAAAAUAUGAUUUGGGAGCAACUACAUAAUCUAAAUUGGGACAUAUAUGUAGUUGUUUGAUGUAAAGUGAGAGAAUAGGUGGGCAAACCCUCAAAUUUGGGAUAUACUUUUCAUUUCACAGUCAUUGAGUUGAGAUUUGGAGUUUACGUUUUAGAGAUUGAAACUUUGGGUACACGAUUUCUAUUUUUAUUGCUUUUAGUAUAUCUCAUUGGAUUACUUGGAUUUUUCUUAAAAUAAUUGUAAGGUGAGAGCUCUUUCCCUGUGCACGGGGGCAGAAGGAAUACAAAAAAUGUAAGGCAUAUAUCACGUAAACUCCUCCCAUCAACCACUUGCAGAUAUAAAAUUUGAGGAACUUUAUUUAGGGUUUGUAUUUUAGCAG
rnacentral:lncRNA from 1 species